GACGAACGCUGGCGGCGUGCUUAACACAUGCAAGUCGAACGGAAAGGCCCUGCUUUUGUGGGGUGCUCGAGUGGCGAACGGGUGAGUAACACGUGAGUAACCUGCCCUUGACUUUGGGAUAACUUCAGGAAACUGGGGCUAAUACCGGAUAGGAGCUCCUGCUGCAUGGUGGGGGUUGGAAAGUUUCGGCGGUGGGGGAUGGACUCGCGGCUUAUCAGCUUGUUGGUGGGGUAGUGGCUUACCAAGGCUUUGACGGGUAGCCGGCCUGAGAGGGUGACCGGCCACAUUGGGACUGAGAUACGGCCCAGACUCAUACGGGAGGCAGCAGUGGGGAAUAUUGCACAAUGGGCGGAAGCCUGAUGCAGCAACGCCGCGUGCGGGAUGACGGCCUUCGGGUUGUAAACCGCUUUCGCCUGUGACGAAGCGUGAGUGACGGUAAUGGGUAAAGAAGCACCGGCUAACUACGUG
rnacentral:rRNA from 1 species